rnacentral:misc_RNA from 1 species
UCCGACUUAACGUCGGCAGUCCGAAUAGAGUGCCCAACUAAAUGCUGGCAACUAUUCGCAAGGGUUGCGCUCGUUGCGGGACUUAACCCAACAUCUCACGACACGAGCUGACGACAGCCAUGCAGCACCUGUGUACCGGCCCGAAGGCGACACCAUUUCUGGUAAUCUUCCAGUACAUGUCAAAUCUAGGUAAGGUUCUUCGCGUUGCAUCGAAUUGAACCACAUGCUCCACCGCUUGUGCGGGCCCCCGUCAAUUUCUUUGAGUUUUAAUCUUGCGACCGUACUUCCCAGGCGGAAUACUUAACGCGUUAGCUUCGUCACUGAAGGGGUCAAUACCUCCAACAACAAGUAUUCAUCGUUUAUGGCGUGGACUAC